GCGGACGUGGCGAAAUGGUAGACGCGCAAGGUUUAGGACCUUGUGGCCGCAAGGUCAUGGGGGUUCGAGUCCCUUCGUCCGCA
rnacentral:tRNA from 1 species